rnacentral:rRNA from 1 species
AUUGAACGCUGGCGGCAUGCCUUACACAUGCAAGUCGAACGGCAGCACGGGGCAACCUGGUGGCGAGUGGCGAACGGGUGAGUAAUGCAUCGGAACGUGCCAUUGAGUGGGGGAUAACGUAGCGAAAGUUGCGCUAAUACCGCAUAUUCUGUGAGCAGGAAAGCAGGGGACCGCAAGGCCUUGCGCUCUUUGAGCGGCCGAUGUCAGAUUAGCUAGUUGGUGAGGUAACGGCUUACCAAGGCGACGAUCUGUAGCGGGUCUGAGAGGAUGAUCCGCCACACUGGAACUGAGACACGGUCCAGACUCCUACGGGAGGCAGCAGUGGGGAAUUUUGGACAAUGGGCGCAAGCCUGAUCCAGCCAUGCCGCGUGAGUGAAGAAGGCCUCGGGUUGUAAAGGACUCUUUCGG